CAAGUCUCUCGCCUUUUGGCUUAGAUCAAGUGUAGUAUCUGCUCUUCAUAGUUUAAUCGCGCCGGGCUUCGCCCGGGUGCAUUGCUGAUAAUCGAGUCUUCAUCCUUA
rnacentral:snRNA from 1 species